rnacentral:rRNA from 1 species
AUACGAAGGUGACAAGCGUUAUCCGGAUUUACUGGGCGUAAAGGGCGUGUAGGCGGUCUUGCAAGUCAGAAGUGAAAUUCCUGAGCUCAACUCGGGCGCUGCUUCUGAAACUGCAGGACUUGAGUGCUGGAGGGGAUAGCGGAAUUCCUAGUGUAGCGGUGAAAUGCGUAGAUAUUAGGAGGAACACCAGUGGCGAAGGCGGCUUUCUGGACUGUAACUGACACUGAGGCAUGAAAGCGUGGGUAGCAAACAGGAUUAGAUACCCUGGUAGUCCACGCCGUAAACGAUGGGUACUAGGUGUAGGAGGUAUCGACCCCUUCUGUGCCGUCGUUAACACAAUAAGUACCCCGCCUGGGGAGUACGGUCGCAAGACUAAAACUCAAAGGAAUUGGCGGGG